rnacentral:rRNA from 1 species
AGCGAACGCUGGCGGCAGGCUUAACACAUGCAAGUCGAGCGGGCGUAGCAAUACGUCAGCGGCAGACGGGUGAGUAACGCGUGGGAACGUACCUUUUGGUUCGGAACAACACAGGGAAACUUGUGCUAAUACCGGAUAAGCCCUUACGGGGAAAGAUUUAUCGCCAAAGAUCGGCCCGCGUCUGAUUAGCUAGUUGGUGAGGUAACGGCUCACCAAGGCGACGAUCAGUAGCUGGUCUGAGAGGAUGAUCAGCCACAUUGGGACUGAGACACGGCCCAAACUCCUACGGGAGGCAGCAGUGGGGAAUAUUGGACAAUGGGGGCAACCCUGAUCCAGCCAUGCCGCGUGAGUGAUGAAGGCCCUAGGGUUGUAAAGCUCUUUUGUGCGGGAAGAUAAUGACGGUACCGCAAGAAUAAGCCCCGGCUAACUUCGUG